UGGUGGAGUGAUUUGUCUGGUUAAUUCUGUUAACGAACGAGACCUCGACCUGCUAAAUAGUUCGGCGGACUCUUCUGGGUCCGUGCGUGACUUCUUAGAGGGACUAUCGGUGUGUAGCCGAUGGAAGUUCGAGGCAAUAACA
rnacentral:rRNA from 1 species